rnacentral:rRNA from 1 species
GAAGGUGGCGAGCGUUGUUCGGAAUCACUGGGCUUAAAGAGCACGUAGGCGGAUUAUCAAGCGUCCUGUGAAAUCCCUCGACUCAACCGAGGAAUUGCUUGGCGAACUGAUAGUCUUGAGGCAGGCAGGGGCAAGUGGAACUCUUGGUGGAGCGGUGGAAUGCGCAGAUAUCAAGAGGAACGCCAGAGGCGAAGGCGACUUGCUGGGCCUGUCCUGACGCUCAGGUGCGAAAGCCAGGGGAGCGAACGGGAUUAGAUACCCCGGUAGUCCUGGCCCCUAAACGAUGUCAACUAGAUCGAUGGUUCUCUGACGUUCUGUCGGUCGAAAUAAAACCGUUAAGUUGACCGCCUGGGAGUACGGUCGCAAGGCUA